rnacentral:misc_RNA from 1 species
UCACCCCUCAAGCCCCUUCUGGCUUGGUGUUGGACGGCCGGCGGCGACCGAGAGGUCCCCGCCCCUCCCAAAGACAAUGACGGCGGCCUCGUUGGACCCCCGGUACACUGAGUUCUUCACGGGACACGUAUCGGAUCAAGGGUGCGCGUGGCACGGUCUGCCUCCCCUUCGUGGGAGAAACUUUUCUCAA